AACAAUACACAUCACUAUCUAGCCCCAAAGUAAGCAUACAGAGAAGCUUGUGUAAUGGGUACCAAGACAGUUGAUAUUAUAAUAUUCAUAUAAUAUAAUUACACAAAAAGGUAUUUUUACGGAGCUCUUUAACCGACGAACACGAUUACAACUAUUUAACAUCGAUUCUAUAGAGACAGUUUUUAUAAUCGCAUUAGAUCGUUGAUCAUAUACUUUGACAGAAAAGUAACGUCUAGCGAGGCAGGUCCUAUAGAAUAAUUGGUCUGAGUAAUUCAAUGUACUCUAUGGGUAGAUUCUGUAAAAAAAAAAAUAUGAGCACUUGAUCAAUAUUUUGACGUUUGUUUGGUUGUGUGCAUGUGGUCUGUGACAAAAGCAGUAAAUAUAAUAUGUUCCUUGGACAAAAGUCAAAUGAAGAUCAACGGGAACCACGCGGCAUCAGCUAUUAACUCGUAUUUGUAACAGAGCUGUACGAGAUCUCCAGCUGAGAGAAGAGAGAGCUGUUCUCGCAGAGAGAGAGAAACAGCUCCAAACUUCAGUUCCUGCGGAACCAGAGGGAGGUGCAGUGCUUGAAGCAUUGCAACCCACCACCCCGGUGGGGCAUAAACAUCCCGGAUCAGACCAAUUGCUCCUGGGAGCCCGGGCUGUUAAAAGGCCAAAAAGGACAUCUAUAGACCGGGAGCAGUGGCCUGAACCAACCCCCUCCACUUACGCAGCUGCUGAUGCAAUACAAGCAGAUCUUUGGGUAUCCAGCCCUGAGGCGAGUCCGGGGCCAUCUACGGUGGUGAUGAGCCCAUUAACGACUGGGUCUUGGACUCCGAAGAGGAAUGGGAUGAUGGCCCAGAAUGUUUUUUUUAAUUAUUUUUCUAUUUUAUUACUAGUUUUUCUUGGGGGUUUUUGUUUUUUAAAGUAUUUUAUUAUUUAUUAUUUAGUUUUCUCAACAUUUCUCUUCACUGCUCUGCUCCUAUUGAUCGUAGCGUAAUGAAAAGUAUACUAUAACCUGCCCAGGAGUAUGACGAAUAAUUGUACCAAGUUUCGUUAAAAUCCGUCCAGUAGUUUUUGUUUCUAUAAAGAACAUACAGACAGACAAAAAUUUUACUGAUUGCAUUUUUGGCAUCAGUAUCGAUCACUAAUCACCCCCUGAUAGUUAUUUUGGAAAUAUAUUUCAUGUACAGAAUUGACCUCUCUACAGAUUUAUUAUAAGUAUAGAUAUAGAUAAAUUAUCAAUAAUAUAUAUUUUUUAAUUUUUUAUAUUAUACUUAUAUUUAUUUAUAUUUUUGUAUAUAUUUUAUUUUUAUUAGUUUUUCUCAGGGGUUUUGUUUUUUUUUAUUUAAUUAAUUAAAUACUACAGUACCUGAAGUUGGAUGUGAGAUUUUUCUUAAUACUUUUUUGUUAUAAUUUGUUCGUUGGAUCUUUUUAACUACAUCAAAUUUUUUUUUUUUUUUUUUUAUUUUUUUAUUUUUUUUUUUCGGGGGGGAAAUCUCUUUGUGAGAUACCCGACUUAUUGGGGGACAAGACGGGUUAUGUGGGACUUACCACUAAAACCCCCUCGGUGGCCACCCUCAGUGCAUAUUGGGAUGCUCCGGGAUCUCUUUUGAAUUCGCCGGUGCAUCCGUUGCACUACGCCUCUAGUGCUCGUCUAACAGUAUAUAUAUUUUUUUAUGAUGUCAUACCACGCAUAGCAGCUUGUGCCACUCUAAGCUGCUAUCUUCCAGUGUCGACUUUAACUACAUCCUAUUAUUGUAAUGUUUUAGUAAUAGCUGGUAACGACUAACUGAAGAUGUGUACUUACUUACUUUUAAAAUUACUUGUAUUAAUUUAUCUUGUACUAUUCAAUUGAACUUUAAUAAAUAUUAUUCUCAGUCGUACAUUUUAUAUUUAUGUAAUUAAUUUUUAGAUCUAAGGUUUUUUUUGUGAAUAGUUUUUAACAACAGAUUAGUUUAAGUAAAAAAUAAUUAAUUUAUAUAAAUACAGUACCUGGAGUUGGUAGUGAUUAUUUUUAUUGCACUAUACAAUAAUUGUAUACUUAGUUUUAGAUAAGUUAGUGUAGUAAGUAUAUAAUAAGUUAGUAUUAGUUAGUUAAAAUGGCUAACUACUUUUUUUUUGACUAAAAAAAAAAAAAAAGUAGUUAGCCAUUUUAGUUAAAAUGGAGAGCAGUGAUAGCUCAGUGGAUAUGACCUCUGCCUCCAAUUCCGGAGGGUGUGGGUUCGAAUCCUGUCCGGGGCAUGCACCUCCAACUUUUCAGUUGUGUGCAUUUUAAGAAAUUGAAAAUCACCUGCAUACCAGAAAAUUUUCUUGAUUCUCUGCGUGUCAUGUCAUGAAGUCUGGCAAUCCGCAUUGGGCCAGCGUGGUGGACUAUUGGCCUAACCCCUCUCAUUCUGAGAGGAGACUCGAGCUCAGCAGUGAGCCGAAUAUGGGUUGAUGACGAGUUAAAAUGGUGGUAAAGAAAAAACCACCUUGGCUGAGUUUAAAGUUUUCUACUUACCACCAAUAAAUCAUGACAUAACUUGA